AGGCACGGCUAGGAAACAUACACCUGUUUAUCAACCAAAUGUCACAGACAAAGUGACAAGAAUAACAAAAACCACUGACUUAAGGAAGGAAAUAUCAUCUCUCUUGUUCCUGCGUUUGUGGCUUUGCCAACAUGCGCAGCUUUCCGGCAUGUUCCACCUGUUUCUUGACAAGACUAACAGAACUUCAAUGAACACACCUCCUUGUUGCCACAG